rnacentral:lncRNA from 1 species
UCCCUCCGCCCCCCGCAAGCGCCGUCCUGGGUCUGAAUGUGGGCCUGUGUUCUCUGGUCCACCGUCCUCAGGCCUGCACAGGGGACUGAAAGAGAAUGGGCCACAGGAAUGCACCCAGAACAGAGCCAAAUUGUUCAGGCUGCGUGAAGAAGAAAGAAAAACCGGGAGGGUAGGGGCAGGGAGAAGAAGAAAAGCUUUCCUUGUCGGUUCAAUUUCUCCGGAGAUAUUUGGAGGAUAACACAGCAAUUUUUUUAGCGGGGGGGGGGCACUGGGGGAGCGAAAAAGAGAGAGCCGAGUUUUAUCGGCACAGUGGCCCAUACAGAAAGGUGACAUUUGAGAGAACAAUUGCUAGGUUGUUUGGUCACAUUCGCUGCUAUGAAUGAAGCUUAAGAAAAGCUGUCUUUGGAUUGCUACUAAUAGUCAUCUUCAUCAUUCCUGCGCCCUCUCUCUCAGUUCCCUUAUGAAAUAAGGGCACACGGGUAAUAAACAAAGCACUAUAAAAGAUCAGAUGGAGGUGUUCUGUGGGCUCACUCCAUGUCGGGAGCAAGCAUUCUGCACACCACCGCGGGUGCUUUCUGCUCCCAAAGGUGGUUCAAGAGUGAGGACUAGUGGCCGAGUUAAGCUAGACCCCUUUCUCCCUUGAUACAACCUCGCUGAAUUUGUCAGGGCCGUGUCCUUGGUCAGCUAAACCACACCUGACGACCGAGGGACAGGAAAAGAUGGCAGAGUAGAGACCCUUGGAUUUGCUCUUUUGGAUUUUGGAUUUUGACCUGGCUUUAUCAAUCCUCAAGCCAGAUCCAGGAAAAGGUGGUGGUACCCUUGGAAAUCUCCAGGAGCAGCUUCAACAGUCAACUACACCAGUAGUGCUCACAGCUGGAAAAUUCAUGCCAGUGGAAGAAUCUGUAGUGUCGCACAAACUCGCUGUGAAGCUGAGGAAUGUGCCUAAUGCCUGGAGCUGAACAAAAUGGCGGCCGUUUUUCUUUCCAGGAAAGGAGACUUCACAGCAGAUGGAAAAGCGUGCCAUACCCUGCCCUGGACAUUCCAUACAUAAUGAUGCUCCCAGUGAUGAUGAUAAUGAUAAUGGUUGCUUGCAAUUAUUGAUGGCUUCUUUAUACCAGUGGUAACAAUAACUCUAAAAGCUGGGAUUAUGUUUGACUGUCAUGUUAAUCAGAGGAAUGAAAGGACCCAGAAGCAGACUGAUCACAUAAUACGCAACUUUGUAAUGCCUGUUGAAGUGAAUUUACUUGAUUUUAUAUUAAAAAUGACUACAGAAUGACCUAUUGAUCUUGUCCUAUUGCUUGGCUCACAACUAAUUUUAUUGGUUACUUUAGAUUAUAUUAGCUGAAAAUGGAGGAGGUUGAUUAAAAACUGCCAUUAUUAUACAUUAAGGCCAGCAAUGCAAUUUGUUCUCAAAUAUCAGGCUAAUUCUGGAGCUGACCCUUGGCUUCUUGAAGCUGAAAGAGAUGAAAGCAGGAUCCGGUGACCCUCACCAGAAAUUUGCUUCAGUUUCUGGUCCACUGAUUUGCAAAAAAAAAAAAAAAAAUGAAAUGGCUUCAGGAUGAAACACCUGUGCCGUGCCCUAUUCUUGCCUAGUAACCUUGGUUAUGAUGCAAAAUGGGGGAUGCUAACUUGGUGCAUUAUCCCCAAAAGAACAAAACAUUUUGAGACUGAAGUCACACUGGAUUUCAGUCUGACGUGGUGACUCAAGUCUUCUUUCCUUCUACAUAUUAUUUCCCAGCAUUCCUCUUCAUCUUUGGUCCUCUGCAAUCCUGAAUCAGUGAUCACCUUAGAAAUGGACAAACAGAAAGAAUUGUAUGAAGAUCCCCUUGGGUACAGGGAGAAGAAAACUGUGACACAACUGUCUUAAUAAGAAAGAUUUAUAAAAUCAUAUAACAAAAUGUCCUGUGAUAGGGAAAUGUAGGUUUGAUUAAUUCUUCUGCUCAGAGACGGUCUUCGAGAGUUUGGCUUCCUUCUGACUGUUUCGUCAUCCUUAGUAUAUUAUCUAAUAAUAUCUUGGUCCUUGAAUUUCAAAGAUGGCUGCUGCAGUUUCAAAGACAGACACAUCACCAUGAGACAGAAAGGAGCCUUUGCUUUCUGGCUCUUUUUAGUAACAAAAAAACCUUUCCUUAAAGACUCUCCCUUUUCAGACUUCCCUUACAUCUCAUUGGUAAGAAUAGGGUCACAUGUCCUUUUUUAAACCAAUCACUCUCAAGGAGACAAGGAUUAUACAACUGAGUGGGACUAAUCAGUAUUCAGCCCCUUUCAUUCAUAAGUUGGAGGAAUAAAUAGUUGAACAUAAUAAGGACA